rnacentral:rRNA from 1 species
UACGAAGGGGGCUAGCGUUGCUCGGAAUUACUGGGCGUAAAGCGCACGUAGGCGGUCUUUUAAGUCGGGGGUGAAAUCCUGGAGCUCAACUCCAGAACUGCCUUCGAUACUGGAAGACUCGAGUCCGGGAGAGGUGAGUGGAACUGCGAGUGUAGAGGUGAAAUUCGUAGAUAUUCGCAAGAACACCAGUGGCGAAGGCGGCUCACUGGCCCGGUACUGACGCUGAGGUGCGAAAGCGUGGGGAGCA